GUGAGGAAUAUUGGACAAUGGGCGCAAGCCUGAUCCAGCCAUGCCGCGUGCAGGAAGACGCAUCUAUGGUGUGUAAACUGCUUUUGUACGGGAAGAAACACUCCCUCGUGAGGGAGCUUGAUGGUACCGUAAGAAUAAGGAUCGGCUAACUCCGUGCCAGCAGCCGCGGUAAUACGGAGGAUCCAAGCGUUAUCCGGAAUCAUUGGGUUUAAAGGGUCCGUAGGCGGUUUAAUAAGUCAGUGGUGAAAGCCCAUCGCUCAACGAUGGAACGGCCAUUGAUACUGUUAGACUUGAAUUACAAGGAAGUAACUAGAAUAUGUAGUGUAGCGGUGAAAUGCUUAGAUAUUACAUGGAAUACCAAUUGCGAAGGCAGGUUACUACUUGUGGAUUGACGCUGAUGGACGAAAGCGUGGGGAGCGAACAGGAUUAGAUACCCCUGUAGUCC
rnacentral:rRNA from 1 species